GCCCCCGUCGCCCAACUGGACAGGGCAAAAGGCCUCUAUCCUUUACGAUGCAGGUUCGAGUCCUGCCAGGGGCA
rnacentral:tRNA from 1 species